UACGUAGGGUGCGAGCGUUAAUCGGAGUUACUGGGCGUAAAGCGCACGCAGGCGGUCUGCUAAGUUUGGAGUGACAGUUGGUGGCUUAACUGCCAAAGUGCUUCGAAAACUGACAGACUUGAGGGCUUCAGAGGGGCACGGAAUUCCGGGUGGAGUGGUGAAAUGCGUAGAGAUCCGGAGGAACACCAAAGGCGAAGGCAGUGUCCUGGGGAGUACCUGACGCUCAGGUGCGAAAGCCAGGGGAGCGAACGGG
rnacentral:rRNA from 1 species